CACGGGGGGAGCAAGCGUUGUUCGGAAUCACUGGGCGUAAAGGGCGUGUAGGCGGUCUGGUAAGUGGGAUGUGAAAGCCCCCGGCUCACCCGGGGAUCUGCAUUCCAAACUGCCAGACUUGAGUAUGGGAGAGGACAGGGGAAUUCCUGGUGUAGCGGUGAAAUGCGUAGAUAUCAGGAGGAACACCGGUGGCGAAGGCGCCUGUCUGGCCCAAUACUGACGCUGAGGCGCGAAAGCUAGGGGAGCAAACGGG
rnacentral:rRNA from 1 species